CUGUCUUCUGAAGAUGUAGCAGUUCUUAAGUGAAUAUUGUGCUUUGUGAAUUGAGGAUACACUUCACUGAGCACAUAUAGAAAUGUAUGCUCAUCCAUUCUUAAGUCAUUGAUGUACGACUUGACGUCUUCCACUGUAAGCUCACGUAACAAGUUUUGUUGAAUGCUUUUAUCGUGUCGUCGUAAAACCCACGGCUUCACCCAGAUUAGAUUAGUUUUUCGUUCCAGAUUCUAGCAGUGACUGAUAUAGCAAAUGGGCGAUCGAAAGAAUUUGAAAAAGCAGUCUGGAUAUAAAAAAAUUUUCACUUCCAUGUCAGUGAGAGUGAUUUUCGAUGAACUAAAAUGAAGAUACAACAGGUUCACGUAAUUUAAACGCCUUUAGAAAUAGAAUUAAUGUUUGAAACAAUUAAAAAAAUUGUGAUAUUGAGGAGGGAGUAGUGAUACUUUCGCGAUUUUGAUCUGCCUGCAGCUGUUGGAUACCUGGCCAAUGAGAUGAAGUUGUACCACUUCCAUCAGUCCAGACAUUUGUCAAAGAAGUGCAGUUUGCGUAUUGUAAGGCAGAAGAGCCUGUGCUGGUCUCACUUGUCCCAGUGCUUCUCAAAGAAGAACAUGUGCUUGAUGAAUCGCUGGAGGACUUUGAAGUUGGCUGUCACCCAUUGCUAAUAAAUCUGAGUUUCUGAAGUGAAAGUCCAAAGAAGGGAAGACAGCAAGAAGUAGCUAUUUGUGUUUUUCAUGGUUUAUAGACCUACUGGGGAAACUUGCCAUGUAAAAAAAA